GUAGCGGUGAAAUGCGUAGAUAUUGGGAAGAACAUCGGUGGCGAAGGCGUGCUACUGGACCGUAACUGACACUCAGGGACGAAAGCUAGGGGAGCGAAAGGGAUUAGAUACCCCUGUAGUCAUAGCUGUAAACGAUGGAAACUAGGUGUGGCUUGUAUCGACCCGAGCCGUGCCGUAGCUAACGCGUUAAGUUUCCCGCCUGGGGAGUACGCACGCAAGUGUGAAACUCAAAGGAAUUGACGGGGGCCCGCACAAGCGGUGGAGUAUGUGGUUUAAUUCGAUGCAACGCGAAGAACCUUACCAGGGCUUGACAUGUCGCGAAUCUCGGUGAAAGCUGAGAGUGCCUUCGGGAGCGCGAACACAGGUGGUGCAUGGCUGUCGUCAGCUCGUGUCGUGAGAUGUUGGGUUAAGUCCCGCAACGAGCGCAACCCUUAUUUUUAGUUGCCAGCAUUAAGAUGGGCACUCUAGAAAGACUGCCGGUGACAAACCGGAGGAAGGUGAGGACGACGUCAAGUCAGCAUGCCCCUUACGCCCUGGGCUACACACGUACUACAAUGGUUGGGACAAAGGGCAGCGACUCCGCAAGGAAUAGCGAAUCUCAUCAAACCCAGCCUCAGUUCAGAUUGCAGGCUGCAACUCGCCUGCAUGAAGGAGGAAUCGCUAGUAAUCGCAGGUCAGCAUACUGCGGUGAAUUCGUUCCCGGGCCUUGUACACACCGCCCGUCACACCAUGGAAGCUGGUCACGCCCGAAGUAGUUACCCUAACCUUUCGAGGAGGGGGAUUCCUAAGGCAGGGCUAGUGACUGGGGUGAAGUCGUAACAAGGUAGCC
rnacentral:rRNA from 1 species